UAGCAUAUUCAUUUCUAAAUAUGUUUUAGGUUUUCGGUGGUUCUUCAUUUUCUUCAUCGUUUCUUCAUCGCUUCUUCAUUGCUUCCAACUGAAUUUGAUUCAUCGCUGGUUCAUCGUUUAUUCGAAAUCUUUCCAUAACCAUGGUGAAAACCGAUUACAAAUGGUGGCAAAGAACAAAGCAAGGAAAAGUUGAACUUUAUGAUAACAUAUGUUGAAAAAGAAGAUGGUUCAAGCUUGAAGAUGUGAUGUGUGUGUUGAUGGACCGCCUGAAAGGCAAAAUUUGAAAGAUGAGGCAAAUAUUUUACAACAAACUAUAGCUGUCGAAUAUAUAUGUACCUCAUUGUCCUCCAUGGAGAGAGCUCAAGUCUUAAGAUAUGUACCUCUGAUUGAUUUACAUGAUUUGGUUGUUGUAAUAUUCUUUAUUUCAAAAAUGUAUUUAAUAUUGUUAUUUAUAAUUUUGUCCUUGGGAAAUAAAACAAAUUCUGGUCCUAUCUUGUAGGGAAUAUUGAUUACUUGAAAUCACAUACUAGGUGGCGUAUGAAAAACUGGAAGAAUAUGGAGAGAAAUGUAGAGGUGUACAGAGCAUUUGCUUAAAGCCAACAUGAUUAGUUGGAGGGUAAGUUUUUAGAGCAACAAGUAGAGUUGGCAAAGGCAAAUGAUGAUGCAUGUAUGACUAAUACACCUUUGGGUGCACGAGGAUCAUCUAGAGUUAACAACAUUUAGGAUAUUUGCUAUGUAUUUUGUUGUUAAAGUACCGUAUGAGAUUACUUUUAGUUUUUUGAGAUUUUUUGGAGUAUUU